AGCCGGUUAGGGAAAGCAGGGGAUCGUAAGACCUUGCACUAUUGGAGCGGCCGAUAUCGGAUUAGCUAGUUGGUGGGGUAACGGCUCACGAAGGCGACGAUCCGUAGCUGGUUUGAGAGGACGACCAGCCACACUGCGACUGAGACACGGCCCAGACUCCUACGGGAGGCAGCAGUGGGGAAUUUUGCACAAUGGGGGAAACCCUCAUCCAGCCAUCCCGCGUGUGCGAUGAAGUCCGUUCGGGUUGUAUAGCACUUUUGGCAGGAAAGAAACGUCGUGGGUUAAUACCCGCGAAUCUGACGGUACCUGCAGAAUAAGCACCGGCUAACUACGUGCCAGCAGCCGCGGUAAUACGUAGGGUGCAAGCGUUAAUCGGAAUUACUGGGCGAAAAGCGUGCGCAGGGGGUUCGGAAAGAAAGAUGUGAAAUCCCAGAGCUUAACUUUGGAACUGCAUUUUUAACUACCGAGCUAGAGAGUGUCAGAGGGAGGUGGAAUUCCGCGUGUAGCAGUGAAAUGCGUAGAUAUGCGGAGGAACACCGAUGGCGAAGGCAGCCUCCUGGGAUAACACUGACGCUCAUGCACGAAAGCGUGGGGAUCAAACAGGAUUAGAUACCCUGGUAGUCCACGCCCUAAACGAUGUCAACUAGCUGUUGGGGCCUUCGGGCCUUGGUAGCCAGCUAACGCGUGAAGUUGACCGCCUGGGGAGUACGGUCGCAAGAUUAAACUCAAAGGAUUUGACGGGGACCCGCACAAGCGCUGGAUGAUGUGGAUUAAUUCGACUGCAACGCGACAAUCCUUACCUACCCUUGACAUGUCUGGAAUCCUGAAGAGAUUUGGGAGUGCUCGCAAGAGAACCGGCACACAGGUGCUGCAUGGCUGUCGUCAGCUCGUGUCGUGAGAUGUUGGGUUAAGUCCCGCAACGAGCGCAACCCUUGUCAUUAGUUGCUACGAAAGGGCACUCUAAUGAGACUGCCGGUGACAAACCGGAGGAAGGUGGGGAUGACGUCAAGUCCUCCUGGACCUUAUGGGUAGGGCUUCACACGUCAUACAAUGGUCGGGACAGUAUCUGAUCC
rnacentral:rRNA from 1 species